AAUACUUUUAAUGUGGUCUUCUUUUAACAGGAGAGGAAGAAACUAGCCUAUCAGGCCUGUGAGGAAAGACGUGAAAAGGCUAUUGAGGCAAGACGUCAGCGAAUGUCUGCAUGUGAGGAACCCUCAGAUGGGGUGUUGAUCAAAUUUAAAUAUCCAAAUGGACACAUCAAUAUGAGGAAAUUCAGCUUGUCGGAGCCAAUCCAGGUCUUGUUUGACUUUGUGGGACAAGAUGAUAUUGCCAGUGAAAUCUUUGUUGUGCAAGAAGCCACAUCAUCAAGAUCAAUUGAGAGCAGUUCCUCCGGGUCAAUAAUGGAUCAUGGCAUAAAAGCAUCCUCAACUCUAUAUGUACUUUGGUUUUCAA